UACGGGGGGAGCAAGCGUUGUUCGGAUUUACUGGGCGUAAAGGGCGCGUAGGCGGUCAGCACAAGUCAGUUGUGAAAUCUCCGGGCUUAACUCGGAAAGGUCAACUGAUACUGUGCGACUAGAGUGCGGAAGGGGCAACUGGAAUUCUUGGUGUAGCGGUGAAAUGCGUAGAUAUCAAGAGGAACACCUGCGGCGAAGACGGGUUGCUGGGCCGACACUGACGCUGAAGCGCGAAAGCCAGGGGAGCGAACGGG
rnacentral:rRNA from 1 species